UUAAGCGACUAAGCGUACACGGUGGAUGCCCUGGCAGUCAGAGGCGAUGAAGGACGUGCUAAUCUGCGAUAAGCGUCGGUGAGGUGAUAUGAACCGUUAUAACCGGCGAUUUCCGAAUGGGGAAACCCAGUGUGUUUCGACACACUAUCAUUAACUGAAUCCAUAGGUUAAUGAGGCGAACCGGGGGAACUGAAACAUCUAAGUACCCCGAGGAAAAGAAAUCAACCGAGAUUCCCCCAGUAGCGGCGAGCGAACGGGGAGGAGCCCAGAGCCUGAAUCAGUGUGUGUGUUAGUGGAAGCGUCUGGAAAGGCGUGCGAUACAGGGUGACAGCCCCGUACACAAAAAUGCACAUAUUGUGAGCUCGAUGAGUAGGGCGGGACACGUGGUAUCCUGUCUGAAUAUGGGGGGACCAUCCUCCAAGGCUAAAUACUCCUGACUGACCGAUAGUGAACCAGUACCGUGAGGGAAAGGCGAAAAGAACCCCGGCGAGGGGAGUGAAAAAGAACCUGAAACCGUGUACGUACAAGCAGUGGGAGCCUCUUAAUGGGGUGACUGCGUACCUUUUGUAUAAUGGGUCAGCGACUUAUAUUCUGUAGCAAGGUUAACCGAAUAGGGGAGCCGAAGGGAAACCGAGUCUUAACUGGGCGUUAAGUUGCAGGGUAUAGACCCGAAACCCGGUGAUCUAGCCAUGGGCAGGUUGAAGGUUGGGUAACACUAACUGGAGGACCGAACCGACUAAUGUUGAAAAAUUAGCGGAUGACUUGUGGCUGGGGGUGAAAGGCCAAUCAAACCGGGAGAUAGCUGGUUCUCCCCGAAAGCUAUUUAGGUAGCGCCUCGUGAAUUCAUCUCCGGGGGUAGAGCACUGUUUCGGCAAGGGGGUCAUCCCGACUUACCAACCCGAUGCAAACUGCGAAUACCGGAGAAUGUUAUCACGGGAGACACACGGCGGGUGCUAACGUCCGUCGUGAAGAGGGAAACAACCCAGACCGCCAGCUAAGGUCCCAAAGUCAUGGUUAAGUGGGAAACGAUGUGGGAAGGCCCAGACAGCCAGGAUGUUGGCUUAGAAGCAGCCAUCAUUUAAAGAAAGCGUAAUAGCUCACUGGUCGAGUCGGCCUGCGCGGAAGAUGUAACGGGGCUAAACCAUGCACCGAAGCUGCGGCAGCGACACUAUGUGUUGUUGGGUAGGGGAGCGUUCUGUAAGCCUGUGAAGGUGGCCUGUGAGGGUUGCUGGAGGUAUCAGAAGUGCGAAUGCUGACAUAAGUAACGAUAAAGCGGGUGAAAAGCCCGCUCGCCGGAAGACCAAGGGUUCCUGUCCAACGUUAAUCGGGGCAGGGUGAGUCGACCCCUAAGGCGAGGCCGAAAGGCGUAGUCGAUGGGAAACAGGUUAAUAUUCCUGUACUUGGUGUUACUGCGAAGGGGGGACGGAGAAGGCUAUGUUGGCCGGGCGACGGUUGUCCCGGUUUAAGCGUGUAGGCUGGUUUUCCAGGCAAAUCCGGAAAACCAAGGCUGAGGCGUGAUGACGAGGCACUACGGUGCUGAAGCAACAAAUGCCCUGCUUCCAGGAAAAGCCUCUAAGCAUCAGGUAACAUCAAAUCGUACCCCAAACCGACACAGGUGGUCAGGUAGAGAAUACCAAGGCGCUUGAGAGAACUCGGGUGAAGGAACUAGGCAAAAUGGUGCCGUAACUUCGGGAGAAGGCACGCUGAUAUGUAGGUGAAGCGACUUGCUCGUGGAGCUGAAAUCAGUCGAAGAUACCAGCUGGCUGCAACUGUUUAUUAAAAACACAGCACUGUGCAAACACGAAAGUGGACGUAUACGGUGUGACGCCUGCCCGGUGCCGGAAGGUUAAUUGAUGGGGUUAGCGGUAACGCGAAGCUCUUGAUCGAAGCCCCGGUAAACGGCGGCCGUAACUAUAACGGUCCUAAGGUAGCGAAAUUCCUUGUCGGGUAAGUUCCGACCUGCACGAAUGGCGUAAUGAUGGCCAGGCUGUCUCCACCCGAGACUCAGUGAAAUUGAACUCGCUGUGAAGAUGCAGUGUACCCGCGGCAAGACGGAAAGACCCCGUGAACCUUUACUAUAGCUUGACACUGAACAUUGAGCCUUGAUGUGUAGGAUAGGUGGGAGGCUUUGAAGUGUGGACGCCAGUCUGCAUGGAGCCGACCUUGAAAUACCACCCUUUAAUGUUUGAUGUUCUAACGUUGGCCCGUAAUCCGGGUUGCGGACAGUGUCUGGUGGGUAGUUUGACUGGGGCGGUCUCCUCCUAAAGAGUAACGGAGGAGCACGAAGGUUGGCUAAUCCUGGUCGGACAUCAGGAGGUUAGUGCAAUGGCAUAAGCCAGCUUGACUGCGAGCGUGACGGCGCGAGCAGGUGCGAAAGCAGGUCAUAGUGAUCCGGUGGUUCUGAAUGGAAGGGCCAUCGCUCAACGGAUAAAAGGUACUCCGGGGAUAACAGGCUGAUACCGCCCAAGAGUUCAUAUCGACGGCGGUGUUUGGCACCUCGAUGUCGGCUCAUCACAUCCUGGGGCUGAAGUAGGUCCCAAGGGUAUGGCUGUUCGCCAUUUAAAGUGGUACGCGAGCUGGGUUUAGAACGUCGUGAGACAGUUCGGUCCCUAUCUGCCGUGGGCGCUGGAGAACUGAGGGGGGCUGCUCCUAGUACGAGAGGACCGGAGUGGACGCAUCACUGGUGUUCGGGUUGUCAUGCCAAUGGCACUGCCCGGUAGCUAAAUGCGGAAGAGAUAAGUGCUGAAAGCAUCUAAGCACGAAACUUGCCCCGAGAUGAGUUCUCCCUGACUCCUUGAGGGUCCUGAAGGAACGUUGAAGACGACGACGUUGAUAGGCCGGGUGUGUAAGCGCAGCGAUGCGUUGAGCUAACCGGUACUAAUGAACCGUGAGGCU
rnacentral:rRNA from 2 species